rnacentral:tRNA from 1 species
AGUUUUAUAGUUUAUAAAAAAUAUUAAAUUGCAAAUUUAAAGAAAGAGUUAACUCUUAAAACUU